rnacentral:lncRNA from 1 species
GGAGGGGUGAAUUUUUGUGUGGUUUUUGUUGCCUGUGUUUUUGCUCUGCUGGGCCCCUUUCAAAUAGUGUAAUUAUGGUGGCAGUCACAAAAAGGAGCAGACCACAAUGUGAAGAAAGCUCUGCGCACCUUUGCAUCCGAAGGGCUUUCUCCUCCACUGACCGCACAGCAGAUUAGAGAUUUGUUCGCUUGCACUUCAAGAUGAAAGCCUCAGCUGGCCUUUGGGAAGAGCAAGAAGGUGGGUAUGAGAUGUGGUUUCCGGGGAGACAGAUGGAAUUCGGUGGAGCAGUUUGAAGAGUUGUUACAGUGAGUCUGAACUGAAGCCCCAAGGAUGCAGAUCUAAUGUCCCAGUUACCCUCGAACCACCCCCAUCCCACCCCACUCCAUCCCACCAAAUUCUUUCACUUGAGUUUUCCACCAAAUUCGCAUUAUGUGUGAGAGUUCCAGCUCACCACUGGGUAACUAAUGCUAAAUCUGAAGCUGGACGUGGAGGGUUUCUGUCUUCCCAGGAGGUUCGUCAGUUUGAAUGAAGGGCUCUAAGCUGCUUGCAGUCACUUACUUCCAACCUAAAAGGAAAGAUGCAUGCUCCAUUAUGCUGCCAAUCUGAGACCUGAGGAGAAGUGAGAGAGGAAAAUGAAGCUGGCCCUGGAAAGAAGUCUGUGAGAUGGAAGCACACUCCUAUUUCCAGAAGGCAAUGGUCCUCAUCAAAGCAGAAAAAAU